rnacentral:rRNA from 1 species
GAGCUUGCUCUCGAAUCUAGUGGCGGACGGGUGAGUAACGCGUGGGUAACCUGCCUUGUAGAGGGGGAUAACAUUCCGAAAGGGAUGCUAAUACCGCAUAGCUGAUGAAGUCGCAUGGCUUUAUCAUUAAAGAUUUAUCGCUACAAGAUGGACCCGCGUCCUAUUAGCUAGUUGGUGAGGUAAAAGCUUACCAAGGCGACGAUAGGUAGCCGGAUUGAGAGGUCGAACGGCCACAAUGGAACUGAGACACGGUCCAUACUCCUACGGGAGGCAGCAGUGGGGAAUAUUGCACAAUGGGCGCAAGCCUGAUGCAGCGACGUCGCGUGAGGGAAGAAGUUUUUCGGAAUGUAAACCUCUGUCCUAUGUGAAGAUAAUGACGGUAGCAUAGGAGGAAGCCAUGGCUAACUACGUGCCAGCAGCCGCGGUAAUACGUAGAUGGCGAGCGUUAUCCGGAAUGACUGGGCGUAAAGGGUGCGUAGGCGGUUUUGUAAGUCAGAUGUGAAAAUCCCGAGCUUAACUUGGGAACUGCAUUUGAAACUAUGAGACUUGAGUGCAGGAGAGGAAAGCGGAAUUCCUAGUGUAGCGGUGAAAUGCGUAGAUAUUAGGAGGAACACCAGUGGCGAAGGCGGCUUUCUGGACUGUAACUGACGCUGAGGCACGAAAGCAUGGGGAGCAAACAGGAUUAGAUACCCUGGUAGUCCAUGCCGUAAACGAUGAAUGCUAGGUGUAGGGUGUCAAAGCUCUGUGCCGCAGUUAACACAAUAAGCAUUCCGCCUGGGGAGUACGGCCGCAAGGUUGAAACUCAAAGGAAUUGACGGGGGCCCGCACAAGCAGUGGAGCAUGUGGUUUAAUUCGAAGCAACGCGAAGAACCUUACCAGUACUUGACAUCCUACUAAGUUAGAAGAGAUUCUGAUGUGCCUGCUUGCAGGAAAGUAGAGACAGGUGGUGCAUGGUUGUCGUCAGCUCGUGUCGUGAGAUGUUGGGUUAAGUCCCGCAACGAGCGCAACCCUAUUAAUAGUUGCCAGCAGUAAGAUGGGCACUCUAUUGAAACUGCCGUGGAUAACACGGAGGAAGGCGGGGAUGACGUCAAAUCAUCAUGCCCCUUAUGUUCUGGGCUACACACGUGCUACAAUGGGUGAUACAGAGAGACGCGAGAUAGUGAUAUGGAGCAAAACUCAUAAAGUCAUCCUCAGUUCGGAUUGUAGGCUGCAACUCGCCUACAUGAAGCUGGAAUUGCUAGUAAUCGCAGAUCAGAAUGCUGCGGUGAAUACGUUCCCGGGCCUUGUACACACCGCCCGUCACACCAUGAGAGUGGGCAACACCCGAAGCCCGUGAGCCAACCCG